rnacentral:rRNA from 1 species
AUUGAACGCUGGCGGCAGGCCUAACACAUGCAAGUCGAACGAGUGGCGGACGGGUGAGUAAUGUCUGGGAAACUGCCUGAUGGAGGGGGAUAACUACUGGAAACGGUAGCUAAUACCGCAUACCAUCGGAUGUGCCCAGAUGGGAUUAGCUAGUAGGUGGGGUAAAGGCUCACCUAGGCGACGAUCCCUAGCUGGUCUGAGAGGAUGACCAGCCACACUGGAACUGAGACACGGUCCAGAAUCCUACGGGAGGCAGCAGGGGGGAAUAUUGCACAAGGGGCGCAAGGCUGAUGCAGCCAUGCCGGGGGGAUGAAGAAAGCCUUCGGGGUGUAAAGGACUUUUAACGGGGAGGCGUUACCCGCAGAAGAAGCACCGGCUAACUCCGUGCCAGCAGCCGCGGUAAUUC